UCAAAAAGAAGAGAUCAAUCAGAAAAGAAAAAAUAUACAAAUGGCCAGCAGCGUAAACAGUGUUGUGUUCGUUGUUUUUUUGAUGAUCUUAUUGAUUUCUACAGAAAUACAAAAUGGACAUGCUCAAAGGCAGCAUAUAUAUUGUGAGAAAGUACGAAGCAAGACGGCUCCACCUGACACUUGUAAUAAAAAAGAUGCUGAUGCAUUGUGCAAAAAUACUUGUUGGACGAGAGAAACUUAUAUUGAAGGAAAAUGUCUGCUACUUCCAAAGACUACAAAAAAAGCUUGCUACUGCUGGCAAUUCAAUUGUUAAUAAAAACCCUAAUUUGAUUAUGGUAUAAAACUAAUUCGCUUGUGUUCAAAAUAAUAAUAUGAGAAAUUUUGUCCCAUAUUCAUAGUAGGACUUAAAUUGAUUGUAUACCUAUAACAAAUAAAGUGCUAUAAUGUUUGUGUAA